GAGGGUAUAGCUCAAGUGGUAGAGAGCAUGCUUAGCAUGCACUAGGUCCUGGGUUCAAUUCCCAGUACUUCCU
rnacentral:tRNA from 1 species